AUUGAACGCUGGCGGCAGGCUUAACACAUGCAAGUCGAACGAGUGGCGGACGGGUGAGUAAUGCUUGGGAAUCUAGCUUAUGGAGGGGUAUAACUACGGGAAACUGUAGCUAAUACCGCGUUCUAUAGGAUGAGCCCAAGAGGGAGUAGGUAGUUGGUGAGGCAAAGGCUCACCAAGCCCACGAUCUCUAGCUGGUAAGAGAGGAUGACCAGCCACACUGGGACUGAGACACGGCCCAGACUCCUACGGGAGGCAGCAGUGGGGAAUAUUGCGCAAUGGGGGCAACCUGACGCAGCCAUGCCGCGUGAAUGAAGAAGGCCAUCGGGUUGUAAAGUACUUUCGGUAGGGAGGCGUUAACUACAGAAGAAGCACCGGCUAACUCCGUGCCAGCAGCCGCGGUAAUAC
rnacentral:rRNA from 1 species